rnacentral:rRNA from 1 species
GUGGGUAGUUUGACUGGGGCGGUCUCCUCCCAAAGCGUAACGGAGGAGCACGAAGGUUAGCUAAUCCUGGUCGGACAUCAGGAGGUUAGUGCAAUGGCAUAAGCUAGCUUGACUGCGAGCGUGACGGCGCGAGCAGGUGCGAAAGCAGGUCAUAGUGAUCCGGUGGUUCUGAAUGGAAGGGCCAUCGCUCAACGGAUAAAAGGUACUCCGGGGAUAACAGGCUGAUACCGCCCAAGAGUUCAUAUCGACGGCGGUGUUUGGCACCUCGAUGUCGGCUCAUCACAUCCUGGGGCUGAAGUAGGUCCCAAGGGUAUGGCUGUUCGCCAUUUAAAGUGGUACGCGAGCUGGGUUUAGAACGUCGUGAGACAGUUCGGUCCCUAUCUGCCGUGGGCGCUGGAGAAUUGAGGGGGGCUGCUCCUAGUACGAGAGGACCGG